rnacentral:rRNA from 1 species
AGGUGGUCAGGUAGAGAAUACCGAGGCGAUCGGGCGAACUAUGGUUAAGGAACUCGGCAAAUUACCCCCGUAACUUCGGGAGAAGGGGGGCCACAGACUGUCAAACUCCAUGCGGGUGGCAGCGGUAGGUGGCCGCAGAGACCAGGGGGAAGCGACUGUUUACUAAAAACACAGGUCCGUGCGAAGUCGUAAGACGAUGUAUACGGACUGACGCCUGCCCGGUGCUGGAACGUUAAGGGGACCGGUUAGUCCGUAAGGGCGAGGCUGAGAACUUAAGCGCCAGUAAACGGCGGUGGUAACUAUAACCAUCCUAAGGUAGCGAAAUUCCUUGUCGGGUAAGUUCCGACCUGCACGAAUGGCGUAACGACUUCCCUACUGUCUCAACCAUAGGCCCGGCGAAAUUGCACUACGAGUAAAGAUGCUCGUUACGCGCGGAAGGACGGAAAGACCCCGGGACCUUCACUAUAGCUUGACAUUGGUACUCGAAUUGAAUUGUGUAGGAUAGGUGGGAGACUUUGAAGCUCGGACGCCAGUUCGGGUGGAGUCAAUCUUGAAAUACCACUCUGUUGAAUUUGGGUAUCUAACUUCGGACCGUGAUCCGGUUCAGGGACAGUGUCUGGUGGGUAGUUUAACUGGGGCGGUUGCCUCCUAAAAUGUAACGGAGGCGCCCAAAGGUUCCCUCAGCCUGGUUGGCAAUCAGGUGUUGAGUGCAAGUGCACAAGGGAGCUUGACUGUGAGACUGACAGGUCGAGCAGGGACGAAAGUCGGGACUAGUGAUCCGGCACCUGCGAGUGGAAGCGGUGUCGCUCAACGGAUAAAAGGUACCCCGGGGAUAACAGGCUGAUCUUCCCCAAGAGUCCAUAUCGACGGGAUGGUUUGGCACCUCGAUGUCGGCUCGUCGCAUCCUGGGGCUGGAGUAGGUCCCAAGGGUUGGGCUGUUCGCCCAUUAAAGCGGCACGCGAGCUGGGUUUAGAACGUCGUGAGACAGUUCGGUCCCUAUCCUCCGCGCGCGCAGGAGACUUGAGAAGGGCUGUCCCUAGUACGAGAGGACCGGGACGGACGAACCUCUGGUGUGCCAGUUGUCAUGCCAAUGGCACGGCUGGUUAGCUACGUUCGGAAGGGAUAACCGCUGAAAGCAUCUAAGCGGGAAGCCUGCUUCAAGAUGAGGUCUCCCACCCCUUGAGGGUUAAGGCCCCCAGCUAGACCACUGGGUUGAUAGGCCAGAAGUGUAAGCCUGGUAACAGGUUCAGCCGACUGGUACUAAUAGGCCGAGGACAAAAG